GGGUUGUGAGGUUAAGCGACCAAGCGUACACGGUGGAUGCCCUGGCAGUCAGAGGCGAUGAAGGACGUGCUAAUCUGCGAAAAGCGCCGGUAAGGUGAUAUGAACCGUUAUAACCGGCGAUGUCCGAAUGGGGAAACCCAGUGUGACUCGUCACACUAUCAUUAACUGAAUCCAUAGGUUAAUGAGGCGAACCGGGGGAACUGAAACAUCUAAGUACCCCGAGGAAAAGAAAUCAACCGAGAUUCCCCCAGUAGCGGCGAGCGAACGGGGAGGAGCCCAGAGCCUGAAUCAGCAUGUGUGUUAGUGGAAGCGUCUGGAAAGGCGCGCGAUACAGGGUGACAGCCCCGUACACAAAAGCGCAUGUGCUGUGAGCUCGAUGAGUAGGGCGGGACACGUGGUAUCCUGUCUGAAUAUGGGGGGACCAUCCUCCAAGGCUAAAUACUCCUGACUGACCGAUAGUGAACCAGUACCGUGAGGGAAAGGCGAAAAGAACCCCGGCGAGGGGAGUGAAACAGAACCUGAAACCGUGUACGUACAAGCAGUGGGAGCCCCACCACUAAGCCAGUGGUGAACUCCACAUACGCAUCCUUUGCGGAAGAUGCGGUUAACGGAGCGAAAGCGACGUUCAACCUAAAAAGAAGCAGAGGGGGCUUAGUGGUGGGGUGACUGCGUACCUUUUGUAUAAUGGGUCAGCGACUUAUAUUCUGUAGCAAGGUUAACCGAAUAGGGGAGCCGGAGGGAAACCGAGUCUUAAUUGGGCGUUAAGUUGCAGGGUAUAGACCCGAAACCCGGUGAUCUAGCCAUGGGCAGGUUGAAGGUUGGGUAACACUAACUGGAGGACCGAACCGACUAAUGUUGAAAAAUUAGCGGAUGACCUGUGGCUGGGGGUGAAAGGCCAAUCAAACCGGGAGAUAGCUGGUUCUCCCCGAAAGCUAUUUAGGUAGCGCCUCGUGAAUUCAUCUCCGGGGGUAGAGCACUGUUUCGGCCAGGGGGCCAUCCCGGCUUACCAACCCGAUGCAAACUGCGAAUACCGGAGAAUGUUAUCACGGGAGACACACGGCGGGUGCUAACGUCCGUCGUGAAGAGGGAAACAACCCAGACCGCCAGCUAAGGUCCCAAAGUCAUGGUUAAGUGGGAAACGAUGUGGGAAGGCCCAGACAGCCAGGAUGUUGGCUUAGAAGCAGCCAUCAUUUAAAGAAAGCGUAAUAGCUCACUGGUCGAGUCGGCCUGCGCGGAAGAUGUAACGGGGCUAAACCAUGCACCGAAGCUGCGGCAGCGACACUGUGUGUUGUUGGGUAGGGGAGCGUUCUGUAAGCCUGCGAAGGUGUGCUGUGAGGCAUGCUGGAGGUAUCAGAAGUGCGAAUGCUGACAUAAGUAACGAUAAUGCGGGUGAAAAACCCGCACGCCGGAAGACCAAGGGUUCCUGUCCAACGUUAAUCGGGGCAGGGUGAGUCGACCCCUAAGGCGAGGCCGAAAGGCGUAGUCGAUGGGAAACAGGUUAAUAUUCCUGUACCUGGUGUUACUGCGAAGGGGGGACGGAGAAGGCUAUGUUGGCCGGGCGACGGUUGUCCCGGUUUAAGCGUGUAGGCUGGUUUUCCAGGCAAAUCCGGAAAAUCAAGGCUGAGGCGUGAUGACGAGGCACUACGGUGCUGAAGCAACAAAUGCCCUGCUUCCAGGAAAAGCCUCUAAGCCUCAGGUAACAUCAGAUCGUACCCGAAACCGACACAGGUGGUCAGGUAGAGAAUACCAAGGCGCUUGAGAGAACCCGGGUGAAGGAACUAGGCAAAAUGGUGCCGUAACUUCGGGAGAAGGCACGCUGACACGUAGGUGAAGCGGUUUACCCGUGAAGCUGAAGUCAGUCGAAGAUACCAGCUGGCUGCAACUGUUUAUUAAAAACACAGCACUGUGCAAACACGAAAGUGGACGUAUACGGUGUGACGCCUGCCCGGUGCCGGAAGGUUAAUUGAUGGGGUCAGCGCAAGCGAAGCUCCUGAUCGAAGCCCCGGUAAACGGCGGCCGUAACUAUAACGGUCCUAAGGUAGCGAAAUUCCUUGUCGGGUAAGUUCCGACCUGCACGAAUGGCGUAAUGAUGGCCAGGCUGUCUCCACCCGGGACUCAGUGAAAUUGAACUCGCUGUGAAGAUGCAGUGUACCCGCGGCAAGACGGAAAGACCCCGUGAACCUUUACUAUAGCUUGACACUGAACACUGGUCCUUGAUGUGCAGGAUAGGUGGGAGGCUUUGAAGUGUGGACGCCAGUCUGCAUGGAGCCGUCCUUGAAAUACCACCCUUUAAUGGCUGGUGUUCUAACGUAGACCCGUGAACCGGGUUGCGGACAGUGUCUGGUGGGUAGUUUGACUGGGGCGGUCUCCUCCUAAAGCGUAACGGAGGAGCACGAAGGUUGGCUAAUCCUGGUCGGACAUCAGGAGGUUAGUGCAAUGGCAUAAGCCAGCUUGACUGCGAGCGUGACGGCGCGAGCAGGUGCGAAAGCAGGUCAUAGUGAUCCGGUGGUUCUGAAUGGAAGGGCCAUCGCUCAACGGAUAAAAGGUACUCCGGGGAUAACAGGCUGAUACCGCCCAAGAGUUCAUAUCGACGGCGGUGUUUGGCACCUCGAUGUCGGCUCAUCACAUCCUGGGGCUGAAGUAGGUCCCAAGGGUAUGGCUGUUCGCCAUUUAAAGUGGUACGCGAGCUGGGUUUAGAACGUCGUGAGACAGUUCGGUCCCUAUCUGCCGUGGGCGCUGGAGAACUGAGGGGGGCUGCUCCUAGUACGAGAGGACCGGAGUGGACGCAUCACUGGUGUUCGGGUUGUCAUGCCAAUGGCACUGCCCGGUAGCUAAAUGCGGAAGAGAUAAGUGCUGAAAGCAUCUAAGCACGAAACUUGCCCCGAGAUGAGUUCUCCCUGAGACUACAAGUCUCCUGAAGGAACGUUGAAGACGACGACGUUGAUAGGCCGGGUGUGUAAGCGCAGCGAUGCGUUGAGCUAACCGGUACUAAUGAACCGUGAGGCUUAACCUUACAACGCCGAAG
rnacentral:rRNA from 2 species